rnacentral:sRNA from 1 species
GAGGGAGGGCGCCGGAAGUGACGCGAGGCUCUGCGGAGACCAGGAGUCAGACUGUAGGACGACCUCGGGUCCCACGUGUCCCCGGUACUCGCCGGCCGGAGCCCCCGGCUUCCCGGGGCCGGGGGACCUUAGCGGCACCCACACACAGCCUACUUUCCAAGCGGAGCCAUGUCUGGUAACGGCAAUGCGGCUGCAACGGCGGAAGAAAACAGCCCAAAGAUGAGAGUGAUUCGCGUGGGUACCCGCAAGAGCCAGCUUGCUCGCAUACAGACGGACAGUGUGGUGACAACAUUGAAAGCCUCAUACCCUGGCCUGCAGUUUGAAAUCAAUUGGAGAGAAAAGCCUGUUUACCAAGGAGCUUGAACAUGCCCUGGAGAAGAAUGAAGUGGACCUGGUUGUUCACUCCUUGAAGGACCUGCCCACUGUGCUUCCUCCUGGCUU